ACGGAAGGCAGCAGUAAGGAAUUUUCGGCAAUGGGCGAAAGCCUGACCGAGCAACGCCGCGUGAGUGAUGAAGGUCUUCGGAUCGUAAAACUCUGUUGUAAAGGGAGAAUAUUAUAUUGAGGAAAUGCCAUAUAAGUGACGGUACUUUACUAGAAAGUCACGGCUUACUACGUGCCAGCAGCCGCGGUAAUACGUAGGUGGCAAGCGUUAUCCGGAUUUAUUGGGCGUAAAGGGUGCGCAGGCGGAUUGUUAAGUUUGAGGUGAAAGCGUUGGGCUUAACCCAAUACAGCCUCGAAUACUGGCAGUCUUGAGUGCAGAAGAGGGUAAUGGAACUCCAUGUGUAGCGGUAAAAUGCGUAGAUAUAUGGAAGAACACCAGCGGCGAAGGCGGUUACCUGGUCUGUAACUGACGCUGAGGCUCGAAAGCGUGGGGAGCAAACAGGAUUAGAUACCCUGGUA
rnacentral:rRNA from 1 species